CAGUAUGGAGCAGGCGGUGACGGCGCACUGAUUCACUCUCGGAGCUCGGUUCACUAAUGACCGAAUCACCGAGGAACCGACCAAAGAUAACUCACACCCGCACGGAGAAGAAGAACAAGAGGAGGAGAAGAUGAGCUGGAGUGGGGCAAAGAGAACUGCAUUCAGAUCAAACGGAUACAAGAGAGGUGGCCGAGUUGUUUGAGGAUCUAAAGAAUUGAGUGUCACAAUUCAACAUGCACAUCAGCGAAACUUUUCCCUCUGACUACACCAGCACGCACGCACAGAAAUUCAUAGUGCAGGUGGUGAUUGCAGGCGCAUUUUAUCCGAACUGCUUCCUCCAGGGAGCUGUGGACGAGGAGCUCGCCUCCAAGGAACUCUAUGGAAACGACCCCAGGACCACCAUAGUGGUGUGUAAUCUCCCUCCAUUUGCAUUCCUCUACCAUAAACAGCUCCAGUCUCUCUUCAGACACUGUGGUUAAAUCAAAUCCAUCUCCUUUGACAGCUCCAGGGCCUAUGUAGAGUUCUACCGCUCGUCAAUGAGAGGUUCUGGCGUUCUCCCAGAGGUCUCUCUGUCUCUCCUCCUCACGCAGCAGAGACUUCCUCUCCAUCUCAACGUUUAACCUGCUGGAGAGGUGGAGACUUGGGCAGGGGGGUAGUGUAUCUCACACCUCAGAUAUACACGGGUGAAUGUGGAUUUUCAGAAUCAGUCAGUGAGCCCUGUCAGGGUUCUGAGCAGCUCCAUUGAGUUGGAGAACCUUCCGUCUAACCCUGUCUUUAUCGUCAAUAUCACCGAGGUGUCUGUUCCGCCUCUUUCACUUUCAGUGCACAAAUAAAAAAGAAGCAGUGGCUCCUGUGUGUGUGUGUGUGUGUGUGUGUGUGUGUGUGUGCGCACUAACAGGAGGUCCAGGUGCAGCCUUUGGAUAUUGAUGAAGAUUUACUGCCCCUGCAAGACCUUCCUCGACUGCGUAGUCUGGAGCAAAGGAUGCAACAGAGCCCAGAUUACAAGCAAAAUCUGGUAAACUGGCUGGCGCUUAUUGACGGGGUGUAUGUGCGUGACUGCACCUGGCGCAUAUUGAAGAGGGUGAUUGCUAACUCCCUGGAAAGGAAUCUAAAUUGGAGGGGAGUCAAUGGAAAGACUUCACUGUCCGCUCUCCAACUCGGAGAGGUCGUGAUUGGGAAGUAUAUCUGUUUACAUACAGAAUUAGCUGUCUCUCUCAGAUGAUAUGUAAGGGGUAGUCCACGGCUAGAUGUGCAUUAAACGAUUUUAAUGCAUGAUGUGGAGGAAAAGAACCACUCGUUCAAAUCGUUUAAUGCACACCUAGCCAUGGAUUACCCCGCCUAUACCAUGGUCUUUCCACAAUUAAUAACGUUAAAGCUGUCAUUGGUUUAGAAGUGCAAACUUUGAUUAGAAGUUUAAAAUAAACUUUGGGAGGUCCCACUUCGGCUCUAAUUGGCUAUUUAUAUUUCUCUGGUUUACUUUAUUUAAAUGGUUAGUAGUCAUAUGGAUCCCAGCAUAGCUGGGACAGGCACGCCUUUAAGAUUUAUUAGUUGGAACGUCAGAGGUAUGGGUAAUCCUGUCAAGACAUCUAAGGAUUUUAUACAUUUGAAACAUUUAAACUUCAAUAUAGUAUUUUUACAGGAGACGCACCUACAUCUUAAAGUAUUAAAGAUCAUCAAAGGUUACUCUGCCCUUGGCUGCAGUUCAUAGAAACCUCUUCACGGCUAAAGCUGCAGAGAUGGAGGUCGAGGGGACCAUGAAGAGGCGGCUCCAGCUGGCAUCAGAUCGAGAGUGUGGGCGCAAGAGCAGACUUUUGAUAAAGGAGGGUAUUUACAGUGUUUUAACUGCGUGUCGGCCUUGGAGAUGAGAAUCACGCCAACUCGGAACGAUCCCCUCUCUUUGUGCAGUUCAUCGACUGUGUGUGGCAGAUGAUGAGACAGAAAACUACAUGAACGUACAGGUGUUCCUAAUAAAGUGGACGGUGAGUGAACAUGACGUGGCUGAAACGAUUUCCAAAACACUUCAGGAGCAGCUAGCGAUAAAGAUUAAGGUUACACCGGCUUGAUGAUUGAUCUUUUAAUAUUUGUGUGCUUUGUUGAUUCUUAUGUAGACGCCGCUCCAUCAAAAUAUGAGAGAGUUAUUGUUUUUGCGUGAAGAACGUGGAGGAGCUCCAGAGAGAGGCCACGUCAUCCUGCUCCAUCUCCUCAUCCUCAGACCAUACUUCUCCCUCCUCACAUAGUGAUGAGGACUCGCUUGAGCUUCACAUGGUGCGGCUGGAACUGGAGGAUUUGGAGAAGCAGAUCCGCGGCCUACUCGACAAGCAGGCCCAGCUGCUGGAGCGACAAACUGCGCUGGAAACAUCUUGUGCCUCUGCCCACAUAUCCAAGGGACCGUGCACCUAGGACUUUCCCAGCCGUGGUCUCCGUCACGCCGGAGCCAACACACCUCGGGCCUUGGGUGAACCAGCGGCGGAAGGCGCGGGCUGGACCCCAGGUGAGGAGCUCGCCACCUCCGGUGUUCGAGAUUCCGACCAGACCGAACACUGAUCGUCGGGGACUCCAUUGUGCGGAACGUCCGUGUAGCCUCAUCUAAAGGUAAGGUGCACACACACUGUUUUUCUGGUGCUCGUGUCCUUGAUGUCGCUGCGCAGGUAUCCGGAAUCCUGAAGAAGGACGAGCGCAUUGGAGCGGUUGUGCUGCACGCCGGGACGAACGACACCAGGCUGCGGCAGACGGAGGUUCUGAAGAGGGACUUCUCCAGCCUGAUCGAGACGGUACGAGGCAGAUCACCCACGGCGAAGAUCAUCGUCUCUGGACCUCUUCCCACAUACAGACGUGGAGCAGGAAAGUUCACUAGACUUCUAGCUUUAAAUGAUUGGUUAGUCUCUUGGUGUAAUGAGCAGAAUCUGGUGUUUGUUAAUAACUGGAAUCUGUUCUGGGAGCGUCCUAGGUUGUUUCAUCCUGAUGGCCUGCACCCCAGCAGCCUCAGAGCGGAACUGCUGUCUGACAACAUCUCCAAGGCGCUACACUCAAAGUGACUGUCUACCGUAAGCACAUCUUCCAACAAUAACGACAUUCAGUAUAAUUAAUGUUCAAUUAAUAAUCCGGGCCCGGUAAUACAUACUAUAGAGACUGUGUCUGUUCCCCGAGCUAUACAAAUAUAUAGAAAAUCUCGGAAAAUCUGUCUUCGUAACCUAAUUAACCUAAAAUUAAAAUCAUACUGAAUGCACAUCCAGCACCUUUAAUCUGAAGCUAGGACUAUAACAUUAGAUCUCUUGCGUCCAAGGCUCUUAUUGUUAACAAAAUCAUUACUGAUCAAGAAUGUAAUUUAAUGUGUUUAACGGAAAUUCGGAUUAAACCAAACGAGUACAUAGCAUUAAAUGAAGCCAGUCCUCCUGGAUACAGUUAUGUACAUCAGCCUCGUUCAACUGGUAGAGGAGGAGGUGUUGGUCUCAUCCAUAGUAAAAACCUAAGCAUAAAUUUAAUUCUUUUGAAAUUCUUUAUACCAGUAUAAAGUUUUUUUUGUGGCUACAUAAGUAAAUUCCUCUAUUAUUUACAGGCCCCCAGGGCCAUAUACUGAAUUUCUUAGUGAAUUUGCAGACUUUCUCAAACCUGGUUGUGUCUGUAGAUAAAGCAUUAAUCGUCAGAGACUUUAAUAUUCACUUUGAUAACCCAGAAGACCCUCUGAGAACAGCGGUUGUGUCCAUCUUAGAUUCAGUAGACAUGAAUCAGAACGCAAUCGGGCCUACUCAUAAUGGUGGUCACACUCUUGACCUCAUACUAACAUACGGACUAUGUCUAGAAAAUAUUAUCAUUUUUCCGCAGUCUGAAGUUGUCUCAGACCAUUAUCUUAUCUCGUUCAUAAUACGUAUGGAUCAUAUUUCCACCUCGCCUCGCUACCACGUAAAACGUACUUUCACAUCAGCUACUGCACCGAGCUUCAUCAAUAACCUCGCACAGACAUCAGUUAGAUUUGGAUCACCGUCAGAUCACACAGAACUCGAUCAGGCGACUGAAAGCUUGGAGUCAACAUUCCGCUACAUGCUAGACAGAGUGGCUCCACUCAAAAGGAAAAUAAUUAGAGAGAAAAAAUUAGCACCCUGGUAUAAUGAUCAAACGCGAACCUUAAAACAGACCACUCGAAAAUUAGAACGUAAACGGCGUCAAACCAAACUGGUGAUAUUUCAAACAGCAAGGAAGGAGAGCCUACUGAACUAUAGGAAAUCUCUUGGCGAUGCUAGAAAAAUCUAUUUCUCCACCUUAAUAGGAGACAACAAAAACAAUUCUAGAUUCCUUUUCAACACAGUAGCAAAAUUAACUAGGAAUAAAACCACUACAGAGAGAAACAAUUACAUAGCAGUGAAGAUUUCAUGACAUUUUUCAUUGAUAAGGUUGAAAAUAUUAGACGUGAAAUACAGGCCAUUAAAUUAAAACCGGACAGUACUGUAACAAACCCAUUACAUGACAAUGUAGCAAUAUCAGAUCAAUGUUUAGAGUGUUUUGCUCCGCUUAGAGAGACCAAACUCGCUACAUUAAUCUCUUCAGCCAAUUCAUCAACUUGCAUACUAGAUCCCGUACCUACAUGUUUGUUUAAACAGAUUGG